CUGGGACCAGAUUAUGUGGUAUUUAUUCUAAUGUUUUCUUUUGGAAUGGGUUGGAGGUUUUGGGUGUGGGGGCAGUUUGUUGAGGAUUUUUACCUGCUGAUGUUAAUAAUAUCUUAAAUAACCACAGACGUUAGUGUUGUCUCCUAAAGACAGAAGAAGAGCUGUUUUUAUAGCAGCUUAUCAGAAGAGGAGAGUCUCCCUCAGCCACUCCUGGGACCAGAUUAUGUGUUGCCUAAAUGGGGAGCCUGUGCCUAUCUCAGGCGUCAUCGGGCAUCACGGCAGGAUA